rnacentral:misc_RNA from 1 species
GAUGAAGAACGCAGCGAAAUGCGAUAAGUAGUGUGAAUUGCAGAAUUCAGUGAAUCAUCGAAUCUUUGAACGCACAUUGCGCCCCUUGGUAUCCCGAGGGGCAUGCCUGUUCGAGCGUCAUUAUCACCCCUCAAGCCCUCGGCUUGGUGUUGGACGGUUUGGUGGAGGCCCCCUCGGGGGCUCCUGCCCCUCCCAAAGACAAUGACGGCGGCCUCGUUGGACCCCCGGUACACUGAGUUCUUCACGGGACACGUAUCGGACACAUGGGUUUACGGGACACGGUCUGCCUCCCCUCAGGGAGAAUCUUUCUAAGGUUGACCUCGGAUCAGGUAGGGAUACCCGCUGAACUUAAGCAUAUCAAUAAGCGGAGGA